GCGAGACUCGAAAACCAUCGCGAACAUUACCUCGUCGUCGUUGCUUCGGCGGGCGGCCCCGCGAGGGGCCCGCAAGGCCCGCGAGGGCGCCCGCCGGAGGAGCGUGAACACUCUGUUUUCUUAGCGCCUCUCUGAGUGGAUACAGCGAAAUGAAUCAAAACUUUCAACAACGGAUCUCUUGGUUCUGGCAUCGAUGAAGAACGCAGCGAAAUGCGAUAAGUAAUGUGAAUUGCAGAAUUCAGUGAAUCAUCGAAUCUUUGAACGCACAUUGCGCCCGCUAGUAUUCUGGCGGGCAUGCCUGUUCGAGCGUCAUUUCAACCCCUCAAGCCCUGCUUGGUGCUGGGGCCCUACGUGCGCCGUAGGCCCCGAAUUACAGUGGCGGGCUCGCCGCGAUCCCGAGCGUAGUAACACACCUCGCUCUGGGGCUCCGCGGCGGGUGCCGGCCGUGAAAACGACCAAACACAAACGCAAGGUUGACCUCGGAUCAGGUAGGAAUACCCGCUGAACUUAAGCAUAUCAAUAAGCGGAGGA
rnacentral:rRNA from 1 species